rnacentral:lncRNA from 1 species
AUUUUUCUCCAUCUUCAAAAAUUCAUAUAUAAUUGAUAAUUGCUCCAAAAAAUAUGUGGUUUUUUGCAUUGUGUCACAUUUUCUAUCUAGUAUUUUAUGAUCAUUUUUCCAUAAAUUGUGCAUGGCUGGAAACUAUUUUGUGCUAGAGACUUGAACACAUGUCCAUUCUUGUCAUUGCCUUGCCAUAUCUUUUGUGAAAUGCUGAGCUUUU